CCCGAUGGAGGGGGAUAACUACUGGAAACGGUAGCUAAUACCGCAUAACGUCGCAAGACCAAAGAGGGGGACCUUCGGGCCUCUUGCCAUCGGAUGAACCCAUAUGGGAUUAGCUUGUAGGUAAGGUAACGGCUUACCUAGGCGACGAUCCCUAGCUGGUCUGAGAGGAUGACCAGCCACACUGGAACUGAGACACGGUCCAG
rnacentral:rRNA from 1 species